AACCAUGUGGCUUUGCCAGAUUUUUGAUGGAAUUACCAGUAUGCCAGUUCCCAGUCCAAACACACUGAGCCAAUUAUAUCUCCAAGUCACCAGAAGAAACCUCCUGAAAGUCCCAAGCAGCUUUAUGUUAGUGGAAAUGCAUUCAAGAGCAAGGUCAAUAAAAAUUAACAGGAACAUUAGGCAAACAAAUUAUCUUUCCAAGUUGUUAUUGAAGUAUCAUUUCAAUAUUUUGGUUUCAAGAUGAAAUACAUGUGCUUUUCAGCUUUUUCCUUGUUUUGUUCAUCUUAAUAUUUUCUGAUUUUCAAGAAAUCCCAUGGGAAAAGUGAAAUUUUUUAAAUGGAAGCUUAAAAAAAUAAUUUUUUUUUUUUAGAAUUUUCUUGAUAUGUAAUUUAAGGGCUAAUAGCCUUUUAGUCACACUUCAUACAACAGUGGCAGAAGCUCUUGGCUAGCCACUAGUUAAUCACAGUCAGUCUUCCUGGAUUAUUUACUUUGCUUUUGAUGACGCUUUAUAGUGACAAUUCAGGAACAGGCUGAUUUGUAACAAUGUAAAUCAAUGUUGUUUGUGAUAGAAGUUUGGGAUACAAGAACACAGAAUAUUAGCUUGUCCUUUUUUCCCCUCUAUGUUUCUAUCUCUGGAUGCAGUCUUUAUUCUUAUUUUAAUUCCUUCUGCUUCUUUUUAGGAAAAGCAGUUGGAUUAUGCCAGCAAAUACCUCAGGAAGGCAGAACUAAUUGCUUCAAUUAUUACUGGAGAGCCAGGUGGGAAAUGAGAGUGUGUGGCCAAUCAGGGAUAGAUAAAAAAUACUUCUCAAAGUUUAGAGAGUAAGCUGAUAAUACUUAGGUUUAUAAUGCUGCUGUUUAUCUUGACUCAUUUCUUUAAGGAGUGGUAUUUAGGUAUUAGUAGUAAGGCUGUUUCUAGCUUAAGGGAGCACGUAUAAAAUAUAGACAGCUUUCUGAAAAACAACAGAGAGGAUAAGGACUACUGACAGUGCACAGGACUGAUUCAUUGCUCAAGGAUCCCUUGUGACAGGAAGUAUAUCUGUUCAAUUCUUAAAAUUGAAAUUCCCAUUCCUAAAAAUAACGGAGGUACAGUGUGAGGGGAUCAACAGCCUAGCUGCAAGUGCUUCCAGUAGUUAUUUUCUACUCCCAUAUGUCCUUUUUUUUUCUUUGGUAUUGUAGAAGUUGUUCAUGUGAGAAAUUACCUUUGCUGGUAUUCUGCUUUAAAUUUUGAUGGCAUUGAUUAAACUUGUGCUGCCAAGGGUAGUAGAUGGCAGACCCGUAGUAGAAGGUAGUAGCAGAAAAUAAGGUUGUGAUUUCAUAUUAAAGACGGUUUAAACAAUGUCAGGUUGAAUUUUAGCCCUUUUAUUUGUAGGGGUAGUAGAGAGGUUUGGCAAAUGUUCUGAUUCUUUCAAUUGGACUUCUUCCUGGGAAAGGAUCACAUUUUAUUCAGUAAUAUUCUAUUUCACAAACUGUCCUCUUCUACAUGUAAAUCAGAAUGUCAAUAAGACUAUAAAAGUAAAUAUUGCAGCCACUAAAAACAGUUUCUAAAAAAGACAUCACCAGGUUUAUAUUGCUCUUUAGGAAAGACAUUGAGAGUGUGCAGCAAUUUCUUUUGCUAUGUACUAUGAGACAUGAACUCAAAACCAAAAAAUGCAAUUCAACCACUGUUCAAAUCAGUGUUGGUAACAUUUCAGAUUGGCUGGAUUACUCUAAAUCCCUGGAUCAAUAUCCAUUACAGUCAACUCAACAGUCUCAUACUUGGUCAGUUCCAGACUCUAUUGAUUCAAGAAAAAUAUUUGAAAAUCCAGACUUUUUCCAGGUUCUCUUACAUUUUAGUAUAUGUUAGGAUUAAAUGUGCAAGACUCCUGAGUUAUUUGAAUUAUUGCCAAGAGAGCAAACAGUAAAGGUAGUAUUUGACCUGUGUGCAUGAACUGAAUAGAUGGUGCUCCUUGUGUUUUUGAGAUACUAGUCUGAAAAGGCCUUGGAAAGGACUGGAUCAAGCCCUGGUGCAGAGACAAGGAACUAUUCCAAAAUUCCCCACCAGUGAAAGUGACUGGUUCUGACCUGCAGUUCUCAGACUCUUGCUGCACAAUACUAUACAUGUGACAUUCUGAUGUUGCUUAAGGAAUUGAAUCUCAAUCCCAAGACUCAGCAUUUUCACCGCUGCUUCUGCAAGGGUGUUGCUCAAAGGACCACUGGAAAGGUCAGAAAGUGAACCUCUGAGACAUGACAGAACUCUGCAGAGAAGUUUUUGGUAUUCAGCACAUGGACUGGAUGGCGUUUAAAAAAAAAAAAAAGGUAAAAACCUCCCACUCUCUUGGAAGAUGUGGGUGGGCAACCACUCUGUUCUUAUAUAAAGAUUACAAUUUUCUGACUGAAGAAAAGAGGCCAAGCACAGAGGAUGACAAAAGCACUGUGAUUACUCAUUCACUUAAACCCCCCCCAUGAAAUACUCCUAGAAGAGUCUUUUCUUGAGAUGAACUUCAGUGCUUACAAUUCUAGAGGAACAAUGUUUUGCAUGCAUAUAGAAUCUUCAAAAGUAGAAGAUCCAAAAUGUCAAUUACAAUGCUAUUCACAUCUAUAUAUCUCUCUUCUACUACAAAUAAUGGCAUCUUGGGAUUACCUAGCAAGUUCACACUUUUGAAAUAUACGAGAAUAAUUUUCCCCAUUUAUUUUUUAAUUAUAUAAAUAGUUGGUAGCUGGAAAAUACCGUCUGGGAUCUAUUGGCUGAACAAUGUCAUAGGGCAGAUAGACCAAUCAUGAUCUACAACUGAAUCAAGAUAUUAAUCAUGUACUUUUAAUUGUUAGUUUCAAUCCUUACAUGGAUGCAAUUGGGGUUUUUGUCUGUAACGUCUGCAAUACUCCAUAGCAUGUCAUAAGAAAUCUUUAAACAAAGUAUAUUGCACUUUCUGAAACAAAUACAGAAAUUGGCUUGCAUAACUCAAUGAAGAUCACAAUAUGUAUAAUAAGAUUAACUGAAGCUUAAGAAGAUCAAGUAUUUCAUCUGCUCAGAGCAGAAUGCCCAGAGUAAGAUAGCAUGCAACAAUGCAUAUCAUAAAAAUAACUAAUACAGUGUCCAAGAACAAAACUCUGAAUUAUUUUUAUAUUAUUAAGUAGUACAAAAAUACAGAAUAUAACAAGAUGAUAUGUUCAGAGAAACAAAGACUAUCUUAUCAAUACUCACAGUUUUUUAUAUUGACCAUUUGGUUGUGUAAAUAAUGUGUAAAUGAUACUGUUUCCAAAUAUUUACUUUUAACUAUACUAAUACAUCUUAAUAGCACAAAAACUACUCCAACAAAACAUUAACACAUUUCUCAAGUAGGCAAACAAUUACAAAAGGAGCAUAUUUUUCCCCGGUGACUCCACUUAUAUACAUGCCUAAAUUUUGGUGUCAUAUCCAGUGAGAUGAACCCAACCCCUGUUGCUACAGUUUUGAUUCAGCUGUCUAGAAAACAGUUCUCAUUGUCAUGGUCCUACCUCGCUUUGCUUCCAGCUACUGGUCCUAAAGAUCCUGUAAGUCCCCUGCCAUAUUUGUCAGGCCUGUGUGAAUGACUUGGAUGACUAAAACAUUUAAAGUAGAAGCAGAUCCGCAUGUUUAACCAAAUAAAUUUAUUCUGCCCCAUUUUAAAGACACUAACCCACAGGCUACUUUUUACAGAAGUUCUGCACUAAGAGUAUUUGAAAAUGUAAAAAAAUAUUGUCAAUAUUAAAAGCUUUUAAAUAUAACACUAAAUCAUUAUUUGCAAAUGAAAAUACAAAUGUCAGCUAUGGGAACUCUCUACAAAUUAAUGAAAAAUGGGGAUAAACAUUUGCUUGCAGUUAAUUGCAGAGCUCCUCUGGUCCAUAACACAGAUAACUGAACUACAGAAAAGGUAUAAUUUGAUCUCUAAGAUUUUUCAUUCAUUCAUGAAAAGAAUACCACAAUAAUUUUGCAACACUGAAGUAAUACUCAGUCAAUCUUGAAUUCCUCUAAAUUCUGAACUGCUUCCCCUCAAGAUAGUUAUGUUUACAUGCUGAAACUGAAAUGCUCUUGAAUUGUUUUCCAGUUUUUAGUUGAAUUUAUUCUUUUGAGAUUGAUCUCUCCUGUCUUAGUCAACUAGAAAUCAGACACCAAAAACCAGGCUGCAUGCACCAGCUUCUCUCAAUGUUGAGAAACAGCACUUAGCAAGAACUACUCAUGUUAUCAUACUUGGAGUUGUAGUGCUUAGAGUACUCAAGAUAGGAGAGGUGAAUUGCAUCAUAAGUGAAAAUUAGGGAAUUGCAGCUCUUGAGUUAUUUGAAGAUUUUAAAGACAAGCAGAAACAUAACUGUGACUGGAAAAGUAAUUUUAGUGACCAAAUGCUAUAUACACAUCUUUCAGAAUGUUUAAAAAGGUGGGGGUUGUUUUUGUUUGUUUGAUUGAUUGAUUUGGGGUUUAUUUAAUGAUACAAAUAAGAAAUGAAAAUAUUUUGUGUUCUUAGGCUCUGAAAUUUAGAUCCAAGACCUUACCAAAGGGGUAACUUAUGAUAAACAAAAAGAUGAAAAGGUAUUUUUUUUUACAAUUAUCAUUCAAUAUAAAAUUUAUCAU